GAUGAUGAACGGAGUGAAAUGCGAUAAGUAGUGUGAAUUGCAGAAUUCAGUGAAUCAUCGAAUCUUUGAACGCACAUUGCGCCCCUUGGUAUUCCAUGGGGCAUGCCUGUUCGAGCGUCAUUUGUACCUUCAAGCUCUGCUUGGUGUUGGGUGUUUGUCUCGCCUCUGCGUGUAGACUCGCCUCAAAACAAUUGGCAGCCGGCGUAUUGAUUUCGGAGCGCAGUACAUCUCGCGCUUUGCACUCAUAACGACGACGUCCAAAAGUACAUUUUUACACUCUUGACCUCGGAUCAGGAAGGGAUACCCGCUGAACUUAAGCAUAUCAAUAAGCGGAGGA
rnacentral:misc_RNA from 1 species